UUCGGACCAGGCUUCAUUCCCCU
rnacentral:miRNA from 1 species